UAGGGAAUCUUCGGCAAUGGGGGGAACCCUGACCGAGCAACGCCGCGUGAGUGAAGAAGGUUUUCGGAUCGUAAAGCUCUGUUGUUAAGGAAGAACGAGUGUGAGAAUGGAAAGUUCAUACUGUGACGGUACUUAACCAGAAAGGGACGGCUAACUACGUGCCAGCAGCCGCGGUAAUACGUAGGUCCCGAGCGUUGUCCGGAUUUAUUGGGCGUAAAGCGCGCGCAGGCGGUUAGAAAAGUCUGAAGUGAAAGGCAGUGGCUCAACCAUUGUAGGCUUUGGAAACUGUUUAACUUGAGUGCAGAAGGGGAGAGUGGAAUUCCAUGUGUAGCGGUGAAAUGCGUAGAUAUAUGGAGGAACACCGGUGGCGAAAGCGGCUCUCUGGUCUGUAACUGACGCUGAGGCUCGAAAGCGUGGGGAGCGAACAGG
rnacentral:rRNA from 1 species